UACGAAGGGUGCAAGCGUUAAUCGGAAUUACUGGGCGUAAAGCGUGCGCAGGCGGUUCGGCAAGAAAGGUGUGAAAUCCCAGGGCUUAACCUUGGAAUGGCACUUUUAACUGCCGAGCUAGAGUAUGUCAGAGGGGGGUAGAAUUCCACGUGUAGCAGUGAAAUGCGUAGAGAUGUGGAGGAAUACCGAUGGCGAAGGCAGCCCCCUGGGAUAAUACUGACGCUCAGGCACGAAAGCGUGGGGAGCAAACAGG
rnacentral:rRNA from 1 species